GCCCGACGACAGGGGCGCCGGGGCGAUGAUCCGCCGCGGCUGAGAGGCACCCUCACCACCUGACCCGGAUAAUGCCGGCGGAGGGAGUCGUGCCGGCUCCCUG
rnacentral:ncRNA from 1 species